rnacentral:rRNA from 1 species
CGGCAGGCUUAACACAUGCAAGGUCAGGGGGUAACAGGGAAAAGCUUAGCGUUUUCUGCUGACGACCGGCGCACGGGUGCGUAACGCGAUACAAUCUGCCUUAUACAGAGGGAUAGCCUUUAGAAAUGAAGAUUAAUACCUUAUAGUCUAUAUAUAUAGCAUUAUAUAAAUAGUAAAGCUUCGGUGGUAUAAGAUGAGUAUGCGUCCUAUUAGUUAGUUGGUGAGGUAACGGCUUACCAAGACAACGAUAGGUAGGGGCCCUGAGAGGGGGAUCCCCCACACUGGUACUGAGACACGGACCAGACUCCUACGGGAGGCAGCAGUGAGGAAUAUUGGACAAUGGAGGCAACUCUGAUCCAGCCAUGCCGCGUGCAGGAAGACGGCCCUAUGGGUUGUAAACUGCUUUUAUAUAGGAAGAAACCUUUUCACGUGUGAGAAGCUGACGGUACUAUAAGAAUAAGGACCGGCUAACUCCGUG